UACGGAGGGUGCAAGCGUUGUUCGGAAUCAUUGGGCGUAAAGGGCGCGUAGGCGGGUAUGCAAGUCGGUUGUGAAAGCCCCGGGCUUAACCUGGGAAUUGCAGUCGAUACUGCGUAUCUUGAGUGCUUGAGAGGGUGGUGGAAUUCCUGGUGUAGAAGUGAAAUUCGUAGAUAUCAGGAGGAACACCGGAGGCGAAGGCGGCCACCUGGUGAGACACUGACGCUGAGGCGCGAAAGUGCGGGGAGCAAACAGG
rnacentral:rRNA from 1 species